rnacentral:lncRNA from 1 species
ACCAUUCCCAAAUGUCUCUCAUUCAGUGCCCUCAACCACUGGAAGAAGCCACAAGAGGAAAUGCCUUUCAUCUAGAAUCUCACAUACCAGCCUCUCCUUCCCAUCAUGAAGGGAGCUGAGCUCCGCUGAAGCAGCAGAGAUCCAAGGAGGUGAAGUGAGGCAAAAUGACUCACCAACCAGCCCCAGAGUCAGCAACAAGGCCAGGAAGUGACCACGAGUAUCACUUCCAAACACCCUGCCCUCUGGCCUCCAAGCCAACUCCCUUGUCAGCCACCCAUCCUCCCUUACUGCCUCCUUGUGUUUAAAUGGUAGAGGUUCCUGGAGAAAGCUCCCAUUCCUCUACCCUGUUGCUCACCCAUGACUUAAAUAACUUAGCCGCAGGAGGAGGGGGGGAGGGGAAGGGAGGAGGGGAAAAAAGCAUAACCAAUAAAAAAGCAAUUAAGCCCAGGCAGAUGUUUCCUUUCGUGUACCGAUUAGUUGGAAAAGGACCGACUCAACUAUUAUCCCUGUUUAUUUGAACAGGCUGCCGAAGCGGAUUCUGACUUAUGGCUCCCUGUGGCUGAGGGCUGGGCUGGGAACACACGUGAAGCUAGCCCAGUCAAAGUGUCCAAGAGAGCCCCUGGCAAUCAGGAACAUUUCUGACACAAGUAGAGAGUCAGGAACUAGCCAGUGCUUCCCUCUCCUCUCUCGGAUGCUCAAAGGCCACCCAUUCUCUGUUUCGGAAACCUUCACUGUGUGCCUCUGGGGACAGCGUGGGGACAGCGUGGCCCCAGCGUGCCAGGAAGGGCUUCCGUGCUGGCCGGCCACUGUGGAAGGGUUGUGGCUGGGAAGCUACAAGGGGGCCCCACCCAAAGACAAAAGGGACAUUUAAUCCUGGGAACAACAAAACCUGAUGAGAAUGAAGUCUGCAGGGCUCUUCCGUUCCCUCCUAAAAACAUGCAACGGGUUUCUAGGCAGGGAAGAAAAAGAGACUUUACAGAGCAGUCUUUGUGCCCUAUCACACAGCCUGCAUCUCUUUUCUUUAAAAUUUCUUGGAAGAGAAUGAGUCAUCUAAACAUUGCAGGAAACCAAAUAGAAGUCGAGGGGAAAAAUUACUUUGGGCAAAGUUUUUCUCUUAAAUGUUUGCAUAGUAAUCUUUGCCUGGAAAAAAAAUAAGAUGCCUAAAUUUAGAAUAGAGAUGUGGCACAGUUAACAAUGCGGGUUCCAUGGGAUAGGAAGUGCAAUGGUGUCUUAGGCGGGGAUCUUUUAUUUUGAAACUCACCACAACUGCGCCAGCCAGAGCGUGUUUCCCGGGGCCCCCACUCUGCCUGCUGCUGGGGUGGAGCUGAUCCGGAAGGCAGUGAGAUUGCUACAGCUCCUGCCAGCUGUGCAUUUACAAAGUGGGCAGGGAAUCCUCCUUUUCCAACAGAGAACAGCACCGGAUGACACAAACGAAACGCACAGCCGCAUUUCCCCCAGACUGCAAUCUUCCAAAGCCACCUCACUCAAAGAAAGGGGACAGCGGCAGAAAUGCAAAGGAACAAGAAAGAGGCUACUCGGUCUUGGGCUGCCUGACGCUAAGGCUGGUCACUCUUCUUUGGAUGGAUACAUCUCCUGAGCUUGGAUGGCUUUGUCUAUUAGCAUUUCCCAAAGAAUGCACAGUAUGAAAGGGCUUUCAAACUGGUCCUCAUCCCGGGAGAUUACCUCUUACCUUGUCUGUAGCUGUUUUGCUUAGCAAAAUAGUGGGGUGGGUGGGCCAUUGUUCGUGGCCUAUUCCAUCUAUACUACAUCUACACCACAAAGCCGUAUUAUUUGACAGGCACAAAAUCACCCCGUUUGUAUGAAAGAAAAAAAGAGGAAGGCAUGCCUCUGCCAUGUGGUGAGAGCUAAUUUCGGCCCCAUCCCAAGGCUUAGCCUGUCAGCAGGUAGAAACAGUAGGGUCAUUUAGCUCUCUGCCGAUUAGCCCGUGUCAGCAGUUUUCCAGAAAAGAAUCCAAUUUUCAAGGGCACGUAUCUCCCUUCACCAGUGCUGGCACCCCCACCCCCAAAGAUAUUUCUGAGGCCAACCGUUAAAAGAUCCAGUUUAAAACUGAAUUUACAUUCACAGGUUUCAGAGAAAGGGACAUGAACCCUAUACAAAGCUCUGGCAGCAGGAGGAGUGCCACCAGAUGCACAGUGACAGUUUCAGGGGCACUCGUUCGGCACUUCAAAGAGGCCAAGUUUCAUGGGCUGGAGCUUCGCCUGAAAUGCUAUUGGUGGGGAGGACAGGGGUAAAAGGAGUGGGUGUUGGGCAGUGGGUCCGGUGGCAGGGGACGAUGGACACUGGCCGGCCUUUCCCCUUCCCGCCUCAGCCCAUCUAAACCAGUGGUGCCGUGUGAAGUUGUGGGCGAGGGAGGGUGGUGAUCCCGGAGGUGAGAGCUCAGAAAUGAUUUCUAGAUUUCUCCCCCGGCCGCGACACUUGUGUAUAUGCAGAGGGACUCUUUUUGUACUCGGCAUGCGCUCAUUAAGGUACCACGCGAGGGCUCCAGGAAGGCUGUGCUCCAGUUACGACUUAAUACUCUGGGGAGCCCAAGGUAGUAUAAAAUACAAAAUAUAUUGAAUUGCAGAACUUUUACAGAGAGGUAGGCUGGGAGCUGGCAUAAGAGGGACACUUAAAGUGCUUUUGCCUUCUAAAGACAGGGUAGACCGGGAUUUCAAAAUGCACAUUUUUAAAGUUGCAAUCCAGUACAUCAUAGUGUGUCUACAAUAAAGUACGUAU